rnacentral:rRNA from 1 species
GAUGAACGCUGGCGGCGUGCCUAAUACAUGCAAGUCGAGCGAACAGACGAGGAGCUUGCUCCUCUGACGUUAGCGGCGGACGGGUGAGUAACACGUGGAUAACCUACCUAUAAGACUGGGAUAACUUCGGGAAACCGGAGCUAAUACCGGAUAAUAUAUUGAACCGCAUGGUUCAAUAGUGAAAGACGGUUUUGCUGUCACUUAUAGAUGGAUCCGCGCUGCAUUAGCUAGUUGGUAAGGUAACGGCUUACCAAGGCAACGAUGCGUAGCCGACCUGAGAGGGUGAUCGGCCACACUGGAACUGAGACACGGUCCAGACUCCUACGGGAGGCAGCAGUAGGGAAUCUUCCGCAAUGGGCGAAAGCCUGACGGAGCAACGCCGCGUGAGUGAUGAAGGUCUUCGGAUCGUAAAACUCUGUUAUUAGGGAAGAACAAAUGUGUAAGUAACUGUGCACUUCUUGACGGUACCUAAUCAGAAAGCCCCGGCUAACUACGUG